CGACAUCAGUCUCCAGAGUGAAUCCAAGGAGUGGACCCAAGACAUUUGUGUUCUGUGAUGUGGUGGCAUGUUACCUGUCAUCUCCGAUGCAUAACUCCUAAAGUGCGUCUGGGGCAGUUGUACAGAUUGCAGAGGAUAAUACUCAAGAUGUUCUCCAAGGCCAACUAGUCAUCAGUUUAUUCAUGUUUCUGGGAUUGGAUUCAUGAACUCAUCCUUUGAACUAUUUCAACAAGCUUUUUCAUGUAACUAAUCUGCGGAAGGUAGAAAGGGGAAAACUGUUGGGUGCUAAAAUGACAACUGGUUCAAGACCCAAGUAGGUGUUCACAGUCAGUCCUGCAGGAAGAGAUUAGAGGAUCUAGUUACCCAGGGAUCAUCUCCAUUCCUUCCAACUGAAAGGGAAACAAACAAGGAGGAGCACGCCUGGGGAGGUUUUCACAGGCCAGGACUGGAAAUGCACAUUUCUCUUUUCCUCACAUUCCAAGCUCCCAAGAUGGUGGUGGGCCACUUCCAAGAUGGUGGCAAGAGUCGUAUUCUCUGACCUGGGGUUCUUGGUCUCAUGGAUUCCAAGGAAUGGAAUCUUGCGCCAUGUGGAGAAGCGUCAGAUAAUUAGGCAGCAGUCCAACAAUUAGGUUUUGUGGAACUUUUACUAUGUCAUCUAUUUAUUGGAAUUCCCCCUGGAUACCAGGACCCCCUCCAGCAGAGCUUAAAGUUAUAGUUACAGGAAGUACAAAUUCCUUAUGUGGAUCCCUGGAAGUGUGAUGAGAAGAACCACUGUUUCCAAGAUCUAUUUAUUCUAUUUAUCAGGCCUAUAAAAUCAUGUAAUGGCCAUGGCUUCAACUAGACUCCA
rnacentral:lncRNA from 10 species